rnacentral:rRNA from 1 species
UACGGGGGGGGCAAGCGUUGUUCGGAAUUACUGGGCGUAAAGGGCUCGUAGGCGGCCAACUAAGUCAGACGUGAAAUCCCUCGGCUUAACCGGGGAACUGCGUCUGAUACUGGAUGGCUUGAGUUUGGGAGAGGGAUGCGGAAUUCCAGGUGUAGCGGUGAAAUGCGUAGAUAUCUGGAGGAACACCGGUGGCGAAGGCGGCAUCCUGGACCAAUUCUGACGCUGAGUGAGCGAAAGCCAGGGGAGCAAACGGG